GGACCCGCACAAGCGGUGGAACAUGUGGUUUAAUUCGAUGAUACGCGAAGAACCUUACCAGGGUUUGACAUCCUGCGAAUUUCUUGGAAACGAGAAAGUGCCUUCGGGAACGCAGUGACAGGUGGUGCAUGGCUGUCGUCAGCUCGUGUCGUGAGAUGUUGGGUUAAGUCCCGCAACGAGCGCAACCCACGUCUUUAGUUGCCAGCAUUUAGUUGGGCACUCUAGAGAGACCGCCGGUGAUAAACCGGAGGAAGGUGUGGAUGACGUCAAGUCAUCAUGCCCCUUACAUCCUGGGCUACACACGUACUACAAUGCUACGGACAAAGAGCAGCAAGUUCGCGAGGACAAGCAAAUCUCAUAAACCGUGGCUCAGUUCAGAUCGUAGGCUGCAACUCGCCUACGUGAAGGAGGAAUCGCUAGUAAUCG
rnacentral:rRNA from 1 species